rnacentral:rRNA from 1 species
CCUACGGGUGGCAGCAGUGGGGAAUAUUGCACAAUGGGGGAAACCCUGAUGCAGCGACGCCGCGUGAGUGAAGAAGUAUUUCGGUAUGUAAAGCUCUAUCAGCAGGGAAGAAGAAAGACGGUACCUGACUAAGAAGCCCGGGCUAACUACGUGCCAGCAGCCGCGGUAAUACGUAGGGGGCAAGCGUUAUCCGGAUUUACUGGGUGUAAAGGGAGCGUAGACGGCUGUGCAAGUCUGAAGUGAAAGCCCAGGGCUCAACCCUGGGACUGCUUUGGAAACUGGGGAGCUAGAGUGCUGGAGAGGUAAGUGGAAUUCCUAGUGUAGCGGUGAAAUGCGUAGAUAUUAGGAGGAACACCAGUGGCGAAGGCGACUUUCUGGACUGUACCUGACGCUGAGGCGCGAAAGCGUGGGUAGCGAACGGGAUUAGAUACCCUGGUAGUC